rnacentral:lncRNA from 1 species
CUUCUCAAAGAAGGUGCAACAACCUACAACAAAAAUAUGUUCAUGGAAGCCAUGGUGAGGACACAUGGUGAAUAGAGGGCUUGCUGGCAAUUGGUUCACAAGCUGAGGAGGGCACAAAGGCCAGAUAUUUCAUCUGAAGAGUUCACAGGCUAUUAAAAACAUUAACAAGAUUUUACUGCCUCACCUAGGAUGGAAAUAAUUGCUUUAAAGUGAACUGGCAUUAAAGUGAACACGUCAAGACUACCUACUUGGAAGCUACAGGAGACAGAAACAGAAAACACGACUCCUGAAUCAUGUUCCAUUACUUUAAUCGCUAAACACUGCUCCGUUUAAGCUAAAGAGAUAUAAUGGUACAUUUGACAGAUGCCUUCACAUCAAGAUGAGAUAGGGCCCUGAAAGUCGCAUGUUGAACCUUUCUUACCUUCUACGAGGAUGUCACUCAAAAUCUUUUCUCAAUUCCUCUUCAUUGGCUGAUUACACAAUACAGAGUCAUUCCUAGUGCAGCCCAACCCUCUCCCCAGGUGAACCUUGCUUUACACAAAACACCUGUGUAUAAAU